rnacentral:rRNA from 1 species
GACGAACGCUGGCGGCGUGCUUAACACAUGCAAGUGGUGCGACGAACCAGGGCUUGCCCUGGGGCUAAGCCGCGAACGGGUGAGUAACACGUGAGUAAUCUGCCCCGAUGACCGGGACAACCCGAGGAAACUCGGGCUAAUACCGGAUGUGGUGCACAGGCGUCAGCCCGUGUACUAAAGGAAGCUUCGCCCUCCGCACUGGGCGGAGCUCGCGGCCCAUUAGCUUGGUGGUGGGGUAACGGCCUACCAAGGCAACGAUGGGUAGCUGGUCUGAGAGGACGAUCAGCCACACUGGGACUGAGACACGGCCCAGACUCCUACGGGAGGCAGCAGUGGGGAAUCUUGCGCAAUGCGCGAAAGCGUGACGCAGCAACGCCGCGUGGGGGAAGACGGCCUUCGGGUUGUAAACCCCUUUCAGGAGGGACGAAGGUUCACCGGUGAAUAGCCGUGUGGAUUGACGGUACCUCCACAAGAAGCUCCGGCUAACUACGUGCCAGCCGCCGCCGUAAUAC